AGAGACAGCAGCAGCCGCGGUAAAACGUAGGUCCCGAGCGUUGUCCGGAUUUAUUGGGCGUAAAGCGAGCGCAGGCGGUUAGAUAAGUCUGAAGUUAAAGGCUGUGGCUUAACCAUAGUACGCUUUGGAAACUGUUUAACUUGAGUGCAAGAGGGGAGAGUGGAAUUCCAUGUGUAGCGGUGAAAUGCGUAGAUAUAUGGAGGAACACCGGUGGCGAAAGCGGCUCUCUGGCUUGUAACUGACGCUGAGGCUCGAAAGCGUGAGGAGCAAACAGGAUUAGAUACCCCGGUAGUCCCUGUCUCUUAUACA
rnacentral:rRNA from 1 species